rnacentral:rRNA from 1 species
UACGAGGGGGGCAAGCGUUGUUCGGAAUUAUUGGGCGUAAAGGGUGCGUAGGCGGUUUUGUAAGUCUUGUGUGAAAUCUUCAGGCUCAACUUGAAGACUGCACGAGAAACUGCAGGGCUUGAGUGUGGGAGAGGUGAGUGGAAUUCCUGGUGUAGCGGUGAAAUGCGUAGAUAUCAGCAGGAAUACCCGUGGCGAAGGCGGCCCCCUGGGCCGGCCCUGACACUGAGACGCGAAGGCGUGGGGAGCGAACGGG